rnacentral:lncRNA from 1 species
UUUCGGUAAGACAUUUUCCAAAGCUUUUCUCUCGAAGCCCCUUUCCCCUUUCCUCUUCCUUCCCACAUCGAUUGUAUUGGUUAUCAACCCCUUUCUUCUCCCUUUUUGCCACGCCCUAAACCUUAGGUUUGCUAUCCCUUUCCUUUUUUCCCUUUGCAAAAAAAAAAAAAAGGUUUUUGGGUUUAACCUUUCUCAGCAUCAAUGUAUUUUUUUCUUUAUU